rnacentral:ncRNA from 1 species
UUAUUGGAGAGUUUGAUCCUGGCUCAGGACGAACGCUGGCGGCGUGCCUAAUACAUGCAAGUCGAGCGAAUCUGAGGGAGCUUGCUCCCGAAGAUUAGCGGCGGACGGGUGAGUAACACGUGGGUAACCUGCCUGUAAGAUUGGGAUAACUCCGGGAAACCGAAGCUAAUACCGGAUAAUAUUUCGAACCGCAUGGUUCGAAAUUGAAAGGUGGCUUUUGCUACCACUUACAGAUGGACCCGCGGCGCAUUAGCUAGUUGGUGAGGUAACGGCUCACCAAGGCGACGAUGCGUAGCCGACCUGAGAGGGUGAUCGGCCA